AUGAUUGGUCACCAAUAAUUGGUAUACAUUUAAUUGUCAUUGAAAUUGCUUUACAGCCAUCAGAUAAAAUACUAUCUAUAAUAAUAAGUAGCCACCGCAUUUUAUUUUUUAUUAUACAUUUUAAUAAAGAGUUAUGCCAAGUUUUAGAAAGAAGUUUAUCUCGAAGUAAUUACUUGUAUCGAUAAGGCACCGAUUUUAAAUUACCUGCCGGAAACAUGACGACAAAUAAAUAAUUGUUAACUUUUUAGCAAUUGUUAAAUUUAUAAAUAAAUAUUAACAGUUAAUGUUGGUUUUAUUCCACUGUUCAUGCUGUCUGUUUGUAUAAGCUCUUUAUAAGCAACGCGAAAGCAAUAAUGGUUUUUUACCUCUGUCUGCUUAAGAAAAGAUGCAAAUUAGAUUUAAACAUCAGACAUUUAAUUUACUGUCACUUACAGAAAACUUGUAGCAACUAAAAGUUUAAGUUAGCGUAAAUUAGAUUUACAUUGAUUACGUUUAAACUAAUUAAUUAUCCUUAGCUUUGAUCCGCUUGCUUGCAAUAUAUCAGGGCGUACUCUAUUAAGCAUUAACAAUUAAACAGACGUAGAAAUAUUUUUUUUUAUACCUUAUACUGAUAAUAAGAUUUUAAAACAAAUGCCUUCAGAAAAAAAUACUAAAAGAAAGUGUGAUAAAAACAAAGAAUAGCUAAAAACAGUCGUAAAGAACGCAUGCAAAUAAAAGGAUACUGUUGUAGAAGUAAUCAAUACAACUUCUUGAUUGAAUUGAUGAAGGGAAGCACAUUAGGCUUUCCUAUGCUGACAAUGGACAUUGCUGCAGCCGAAGCAACAUUUUAAACGUGUUUUUUUAAAAAGUGCACAGUGGGUGCAUCAACUACAUUCUGAGUUAAUUUGUUCCAUCGGUUCGUAACUCAAUUUGUAAAGAAGUGGUUUUAAACAUUGGCUGUUUCUUCUCAGAUUAUAUCGUGAAUUUAACAAAAAAGGCUGGGCUUGUGGUGCCCCAAGAGGUUCUUACGGUCUUAUCACUGAGCACCGUGGAAGAGCAUUUGAAAGGAAGUUUAGGCCUCAUUCCUUACCGAUGUUAUAAACUUGCCCAGAGGUGGCGUCGAACCACGAGUAUCCAGCUUCUGGUUUCGUUGUUUAAUUUAAACAUUAAACUUUUUAACUCAUCAAAUGAUUGUUAUAUAUCAUUAGAAAAAGAUUGUUAUAUAUCAUUAGAAAGGUCUUUAAUUCAGUAUUUUAAAGGUAAAGAAAUUUACAAAAUUGAACUACUAUACAAAAAGUUAUGGCAUUUUAAGUACCGAG